rnacentral:rRNA from 1 species
AGCAGUAGCCGCGGUAAAACGUAGGGUGCAAGCGUUAAUCGGAAUUACUGGGCGUAAAGCGUGCGCAGGCGGUUAUAUAAGUCAGAUGUGAAAUCCCCGGGCUCAACCUGGGAACUGCAUUUGAGACUGUAUGGCUAGGGUGUGUCAGAAGGGGGGUAGAAUUCCACGUGUAGCAGUGAAAUGCAUAGAUAUGUGGAGGAAUACCGAUGGCGAAGGCAGCCCCCUGGGAUAACACUGACGCUCAUGCACGAAAGCGUGGGGAGCAAACAGGAUUAGAUACCCCCGUAGUCCCUGUCUCUUAUU